GCCCCCGUCAUGGCGCCCGAGGAGAACGCGGGGAGCGAACUCUUGCUGCAGAGUUUCAAGCGCCGCUUCCUGGCAGCGCGCGCCCUGCGCUCCUUCCGCUGGCAGAGCUUAGAAGCAAAGUUAAGAGACUCAUCAGAUUCUGAGCUGCUGCGGGAUAUUUUGCAGAAGUAGACUGUGAAGCAUCCUGUGUGUGUGAAGCACCCGCCGUCAGUCAAGUAUGCCCGGUGCUUUCUCUCAGAACUCAUCAAAAAGACGUGCUGUAUUGCCCAGAAGCCAUCGUGUCGCUGGUCGGGGUCCUGCGGAGGCUGGCUGCCUGCCGGGAGCACCAGCGGGCUCCUCAAUUCUACAUGGCCCUUACCGUCUGCAACCCAGAGAUGUGCCAGCUGUUCACCACCGAGCUAUCUGGAGAAUCCUGCCAGGAAAAGACCCUCAGCCGCCAAGUGCUCUGCUCACUCGAAGCUGGAAGAUGCGGCUCUAGAGACGCAUCAGGACCAAGCCACGACUCCCAACUUGGAGAAAUCAACGGGGAAAGAGACGGAGACAAAGAAGAACCAUCUCACUGGGAGAGGCGAUGCUGUUUGACACAUCGUCCCUGUACCUCCCAAAGCCACUGUCCUCCCACACCUGGGCAACAGUGGCCUCAACCCCAGGCCCAGCCCUCCUGCAGGAAGGAAGAGGACUGAAUGGAGGGCGUGGCAGGAUGAAAGGACGUGGCCUCCUCAAACCCAUUGGUAAAGGGCCUCUGGGGCCACCUGGCUAAGAGGGGCUGGCAGACCAGGAAGUGGCCUCCUCCCGGGAGUUGAGCCAGAGCCCAGGUCCUGUCCCCAAGUGGCCUCCAGAGCCACCUUUUCAGAAAAAGUACAUCCUGCCCACCCCUGCUCCCCCUGCUUAAGGCCCCACCUCCUCCCUGAGCCUCCUGCUGGCCUCUCACCUAGAAGCGGGGGUAGUCCUCGGCCCUCCAGCCAAGGGGUGCAGACCUGGAUGUGCUGGAAAUGCUUCUGGUGGAUGAGGCGACUGUAAUACUCCCUCAGAGGCCCUUUGCCUUCACAGAGAAGAGCACACACUGCCAUGGACCCGUCUCUGUCCCUGCCACAUGACCCCAGGCUCAAGACACUCCCCCCUAGGAGGGAUCCUUUUCCCAGAAGCUCCACCCCUUGGCAGCUCCAGUCAGGCCCCAUCUGACUGGGAGGGGAACAACACACACUGGAGCCUGUCUGGGGGUGAGUGGGGAGGGAGUGCAUCAGGAUAAAUAGCUAAUGCAUGUGGGCUGAAUACCUAGGUGAUGGGUUGAUAGGUACAGCAAACCACCAUGGCACACAUUUACCUAUGUAACAAACCUGCACAUCCUGCACAUGUAUCCCAGAACUUAAAAUGAAAUAAAAUAAAAUUUUAAAAAA
ensembl:lncRNA novel transcript